UGGCAUUAAACCUAGUGUCUUGAACAUAGGUUGAACAAGUAUAGUGUGAACCUAGUGUCAUGAACCUAGCAAACACUUAUGGUAUUUGAGCAUAUAUAUUUUGUAUCAUUCAUGCAUGAUAGGGCUAAGUACAUGUGAACCUUGGUUGCUUUCAAUGACAUGUUCUAACGUAGUUGAACAUAGAGAAUGGUAGAACCAUAAUGGACAUGUAUGUUAGGACCCUAUAAUUGUGUGAAUGUGAGAGUUGGACUUGGACAUAGUAAACAAAGGUGACAUUGACAAUAGAGACAUUGUUUGGCAUAGAGAACAUAGUUGUUAAACAUAGUUUAACCAAGAGUGGCAUUGAGACAAGAAUGGCCUAGAGAGCGGCAUGAAUAAAUAGGUAGAAAACCUAUUAUGACAAUGGCAUUGUGACAAGUGGCUAUGAAUCCUCAAGUUGAGGAUUGGAUCUAUACUCACGAUAAGUCUUGGCUUGAGGGAGGUAGCUCCCCCUCAAGCGGUGCGCUCCGGAGUAGGUCACCACGGGGAUAGUGGCCCCGAAGAACGGUCCCUCGAGUGGAAGUGCUCGAAGCCUCCUCGAUCAAAAGGGAUUUUGGGUUGUGAGUCAUUGGGGUUAACAAGGUUAACCGGUAAGAUUUGGUCAAAGCCAAGUAAGAGUUACUUUUAAAAGAAUAAACGCACUACAAUAUGAUUGACUCGAAACCGAGUCGGGUGGUUAGCUUGGCUAGGGUAGAG
rnacentral:lncRNA from 1 species